rnacentral:rRNA from 1 species
AUUGAACGCUGGCGGCAGGCUUAACACAUGCAAGUCGAGCGGAGAGAAGUAGCUUGCUACUGAUCUUAGCGGCGGACGGGUGAGCAAUGCUUAGGAAUCUGCCUAUUAGUGGGGGACAACACUCCGAAAGGAAUGCUAAUACCGCAUACGCCCUACGGGGGAAAGCAGGGGAUCUUCGGACCUUGCGCUAGUAGAUGAGCCUAAGUCGGAUUAGCUAGUUGGUGGGGUAAAGGCCUACCAAGGCGACGAUCUGUAGCGGGUCUGAGAGGAUGAGCCGCCACACUGGGACUGAGACACGGCCCAGACUCCUACGGGAGGCAGCAGUGGGGAAUAUUGGACAAUGGGCGGAGGCCUGAUCCAGCCAAGCCGCGUGUGUGAAGAAGGCCUUUUGGUUGUAAAGCACUUUAAGCGAGGAGGAGGCUCUUAAGGUUAAUACCCUUGAUGAGUGGACGUUACUCGCAGAAUAAGCACCGGCUAACUCUGUGCCAGCAGCCGCCGUAA